GACGAACGCUGGCGGCGUGCUUAACACAUGCAAGUCGAACGAUGAACUUGGAGCUUGCUCUGGGGGAUUAGUGGCGAACGGGUGAGUAACACGUGAGUAACCUGCCCUGGACUCUGGGAUAACUUCGAGAAAUCGGAGCUAAUACCGGAUAGGACCUUGCACCGCAUGGUGUGGGGUGGAAAGUUUUUCGGUUUGGGAUGGACUCACGACCUAUCAGCUUGUUGGUGAGGUAAUGGCUCACCAAGGCGUCGACGGGUAGCCGGCCUGGGAGGGUGACCGGCCACACUGGGACUGAGACACGGCCCAGACUCCUACGGGAGGCAGCAGUGGGGAAUAUUGCACAAUGGGCGCAAGCCUGAUGCAGCAACGCCGCGUGCGGGAUGACGGCCUUCGGGUUGUAAACCGCUUUUAGUAGGGAAGAAGCCUUCGGGUGACGGUACCUGCAGAAAAAGGACCGGCUAACUACGUGCCAGCCGCCGCCGUAACAC
rnacentral:rRNA from 1 species